rnacentral:rRNA from 1 species
UAGAUACCCUGGUAGUCCAUGCCGUAAACGAUGUCUACUAGCCGUUGGGGCCUUUGAGGCUUUAGUGGCGCAGCUAACGCGAUAAGUAGACCGCCUGGGGAGUACGGUCGCAAGACUAAAACUCAAAUGAAUUGACGGGGGCCCGCACAAGCGGUGGAGCAUGUGGUUUAAUUCGAUGCAACGCGAAGAACCUUACCUGGUCUUGACAUAGUAAGAACUUUCCAGAGAUGGAUUGGUGCCUUCGGGAACU